rnacentral:rRNA from 1 species
GCCUAGGAAUCUGCCUGGUAGUGGGGGAUAACGUUCGGAAACGGACGCUAAUACCGCAUACGUCCUACGGGAGAAAGCAGGGGACCUUCGGGCCUUGCGCUAUCAGAUGAGCCUAGGUCGGAUUAGCUAGUUGGUGGGGUAAUGGCUCACCAAGGCGACGAUCCGUAACUGGUCUGAGAGGAUGAUCAGUCACACUGGAACUGAGACACGGUCCAGACUCCUACGGGAGGCAGCAGUGGGGAAUAUUGGACAAUGGGCGAAAGCCUGAUCCAGCCAUGCCGCGUGUGUGAAGAAGGUCUUCGGAUUGUAAAGCACUUUAAGUUGGGAGGAAGGGCCGUUACCUAAUACGUGAUGGUUUUGACGUUACCGACAGAAUAAGCACCGGCUAACUCUGUGCCAGCAGCCGCGGUAAUACAGAGGGUGCAAGCGUUAAUCGGAAUUACUGGGCGUAAAGCGCGCGUAGGUGGUUUGUUAAGUUGGAUGUGAAAUCC